UAAUGUGUUGCAUGUAAACCUUCACAUGUAAAUGUACAUGUAUCAGAAACCACUUUCCUCCAUCAAAGUUCUCUCCACAAAUAAGAAUUUUGUUUUGGCAAAAAAAUUCCUACAUAAAAGACUAGUAGCUUGGCACUUAUUUUGCAAGCAUAUGUCGCGCCAAUUAAUUUUUAAGGAAGAUUGAUCAUACAUUGCAAGAAAAAAAAAAAGGAAAAAGAAAAAAGAAAAAAAAGGAAAAAUCCAAGAAAAAAUUGAAAAAGGCGAAGCAGAAAAAUCAAAAAAGGAAAAAGAGAAAAUUAUGCGGGAUCAGGAAAUGUACACGUCUCCUACUAAGGCUAUACAAGGAAAGCAGUCAAUCUCUACCACUGACACACCAAUCAACGUCAAGGCAUAGAUCCAUUCAACCAUCAAUUUAGCAAUUGCUCAAUCAUAUCCCACUUUCAAAAACUUAAUUUCCAAGUUUGAAUAUGACAACAACUUGCUUUCCACACAGUUUACUACCACAACACAACACAACACCAUAGCAAAACAACAAUACCAAAAAUAGGAUAAUACCAGUCCAAACAGAAACCAAUAUCCACCCUAUCCUCACAGCUGAACCUCACCAAAAUCCAAAAUACCACAACACCCCUUUCCAUAUCACAUAUGCUGUUCUCUGCACACAAAACUGGAACUGAAAAGACCAGGAAAAGAACAAGUUCAACAAAAUUGAAUGGGACCCUAAUAAAUUGAUUUUAUGUGAUUUAGAAGUGAUCAAGAAGAAAUCAAGUGAAAAACAAGUCGAAGAAAAAACCAGAGACAUUUCUCGCUUUUUUCACAGCAUUAUUGUAAGUUUGUGUUUCUUUUAUUUUGACGGACACAUUUAGAGAUUAUCUAUCCAUGCUUCUCAUCAUCAUGUGUGCUUUGUCAAAGAUUCUGUAGAUUGAUUGUUGUUCUCCGCUUAUGGUUCUAUUUGUUAGAUAGUAUAAAGGUUCAGCGA